UAGGGAGAGGGCUCCUGGCCGGUUCCAGAGCCCCCAGCCUCCCCAGGAGGGGGCGGGGGCCGUGCUCGUUCCUCGAGGCAGCUCCGCGCGGCUCCUAGCUAGCGCGGCGACGGUGGAGGGCCGGCGGCCUCUGCUCACCGGCGACGCGGACCCGGGAGUGCUCGGCGCCCGGGAGUGCUGGCGCUUGGAGCGGAGACGGCACAGGGCCGGCCCAAAGUUGACAGCGGCUUAUCCGCGCGGCCUGUCCGACCCAGUGGAAAGGAGCAGGGGAGUGGCCCCACUGGCUGGCUGGAUGAUGGAUGGUGGACGGCAGGACGGACACACAGAUGAAUGGAGGGAAGGAAGUGAGGGGUUGUGCCUAGGCAAUGCAGGACCGCUGGACAGGUACCCAGAGGGAGACUUCCCAGAAGGACGGACCUUGGAGAAGUGACUGCGGGAUCCUUCUCCACCAAGAUGCUUCUGCCUCAACCCCUUUCUCCUAGCUCUCAACGUGUGGUCCACUCUGAGCGCAAGUCCCCCUGUGUGGAUGUCCAGCACUCUGCACACUGAACCAUCUCAGCAGGUCACGCUGCUGCUGCUACCCAGGCCCACCGUCGGCCUGGCUGCUUCUGUCAGCCCAUCAGCCAGUCUCCACUGGCUACCACCACUGCCACCAUCAACACAAAUUCGCAAGGACCGCCACCACCCCUACCUGAAUGUCAGCACCCACCCCACCCCGUCCUCCCAUGGCCCUCAACGGCAGUCACCACCAUCACAACACAGGUCACCAGGAGACGAGGGAACUCAAGCCUACCGAGCCCCUGGGCAUGGCGCACAGCUCGCAGGACACAGUUGUGUCCAUAUCAGUCCCCUCUGCAAGGCUGAUCUGUGGCCAAGGCUCCUAGAAGUGUCCAGAGGAACUGGCCAGAAGGGGCCCAGAGACACAGGCCACAGGGCAGCCAAGAAAGGGUGGGGGCGGUCCGCUUCCCGGUCCAACCUCUUGGGCAGUGUCACACCUCCUUCCUCCUGGGGAAAAGGCCUUCUUCUCCAAAGCUUUGCCAGGAUUGUUGACAAAAGGGCAGGGUGCCCGGGCUGCCUCUGAGGAUCCCCUGCCGAGCGGCACCCCCUCCUCCCAGUCCUGGCGGCGAUGCCCUGCCUCGUCUCCUCGCUGCACCAGCAGUCAUGGCCACCAGGGGGCGGCUGAUGUCAGGCCAGGAGGCCAACAGCUCUGAGUCAGGACUCAGCCUUCCUCCUUGGAGCCCGGAGGGUGGCAGCGAUCCCGGUGCCUCCGCUGGGGAAUCCAGCCCCAGGUUCUCAGGGCUGGGGCCCUCUCCAAUGCGGCCAUCCAGGGUGAGGCAGUCUCCCGUCUGGGUCCAGCUUCUCGGCAGGGCCUUUCCUCUCCCUGCACGGGGCCUUCUCUGCUUCCCUCCCCGACUCGCCCCUUUUAGAAAAUCGCCCUCUCAGCCCAGCUCCUGAUCCAGGACUCAGAGGGUUCCACCUCCCACCGCCAGGCCCAGCCCUCAGCCCCUCCCCAGGGAGGGAGAAGGUCAGGCGUAAGGAGUUCUGCCCACCGAGACCAGCUCCCAGCAGGGUGCCCUGAAGCAGUCCUGCUCACCCCACUUCAGCCCUGUCUCCCUGUCGGCAUGCGUGUGUCUGAAUGGCUUUGAAGGUGUCUUCCAGCCCAGACACUCCGGGAUUCUAGAACCUAAACUGGUGACUGGCUUUCAGGAGGCUUGCCUCGGUGUGCACCCUGAACUCCCUUCCCCUCACCUGCUCACCAUCCCCCGCCGCCGCCCGCCACUGCACGUCUCACGCCCAGAUCGGCUUCGUUUCAGGGUCCUGUCCACAGCCUGAAGAACCCAGGGUGGGCCCAGCACCGGGAGGCUGGAAUUGACGGUCCCUGCUGGGGACCACACCCAACUGGACGCUGGGCCCUAGAACCUCCUCGCGCAGCCCAGAGGGAGUGUAUCUUCUCGGUGUUCUCCAUAGCCACAAAAUGAUCCCGGGCCACAGCCACUCAGCUGUGACCCUGCCCCCGACAUUGGAAUCAGUGACCACUGACCUUGGUCACACGCUGAACCCUGAUCCUGGUCACACACUGAGCUCUGGCCACACUCUGAACCCUGAUCCUGGUCACACACUGAGCUCGGUCACACACUGAACCCUGAUCCUGGUUGUACACUGAGCUUGGUCACAUGCUGAGCCCUGAUCCUGGUCACACACUGAGCUCGGUCACAUGCUGAGCCCUGAUCCUGGCACACACUGAGCUCAGUCACACGCUGAACCCUGAUCGUGGUCACACACUGAGCUCUGGUCACACGCUGAACCCUGAUCCUGGUCACACACUGAGCUUAGUCACAUGCUGAACCCUGAUCCUGAUCACACACUGAGUUCUGGUCACACGCUGAACCCUGAUCCUGGUCGUACACUGAGCUUGGUCACAUGCUGAGCCCUGAUCCUGGUCACACACCGAGUUCUGGCCACACACGAGCUUCCAUCCUGGUCACACACUGAGCUUAGUCACACGCUGAACCCUGAUCCUGGUUGUACACUGAGCUUAGUCACACGCUGAACCCUGAUCCUGGUCACACACUGAGCUUGGUCACGUGCUGAGCCCUGAUCCUGGUCACACACUGAGCUUGGCCACACACGAGCUUCCAUCCUGGUCACACACUGAGCUUAGUCACACGCUGAACCCUGAUCCUGGUUGUACACUGAGCUUAGUCACACACUGAACCCUGAUCCUGGUCACACACUGAGCUUGGUCACAUGCUGAGCCCUGAUCCUGGUCACACACUGAGCUUGGCCACACACGAGCUUCCAUCCUGGUCACACACUGAGCUUGGCCACACGCGAGCUUCCAUCCUGGUCACACGCUGAGUUCUGGCCACACACGAGCUUCCAUCCUGGUACAGACUGAGCCCUGAUCCCAUGGCCGCUUUGGUCCAUCCAGAGCUUUGGUCCCAAGGCUAAGUGUAGACUCUAAGGCGUCCCUGAUUGAUAGGAAACAGAAAGGGGGGUAUGAGGCCUCGGAGUGGGGCAGCAGGAAGUGUGCCUCAAAGUCCUAUAUUUCCAGCCAUUUUCACAUAGGACUGUCCCAUCCUCAGGGAGGUGGGUGUUUGUUUGAGGCCACAGGGGAGCCAGGGCAGUCUACAACCCAGCUCCCUGACUCCCGUUUCAUGGUCCCCCAGAGCUGUCUGCAGGGACCCCCCAGGGCAGAAUGAGGGCUCUUUGUAUCCGCCAGUGCUUCUUAGGGCUGAGGUCGCAUGGGGGCGCAGGAGGAAGAGGACCCCUGGUCCUCUUGAGGUACUCAAUAGACUUUGCCAGCCAGAGGCUGAAGGGCCUCUGUGUGGGGGUGACCGGAAUGGUGAGUACUUAGUGGAUUCACAGGCAGAGGAGUUAACUGUGGAUGCAGCAAGUCUAGGUUAGCCUCCCAGUCAGGACCCUUGGAGCCCCUGCCUACCACCAUACAGGAUCCUGAGGCCUUGCCCUCACCCAGCCUGUCCUGGUGCAUCCUGGCCCCCCUCCCACCCCCAGCUCAGCCCGAAGGUGCCCCAAACUGUGCAGAUGUUGAGGAAGGAUGGGAAAAGGAGAGAGACUGUCAGAGAGCAAGUGAUAGUGAGGGCAGAGGCUCCUGUUAACAAGGUUCUAACAGUGUGGUGCACCCGGCCUCCUCUUCCAGGAAGCCUCCUCUGGUCUUCUGGUUGGCAGGCAUGGCCCCUUCCUGUGUCCCAGGCACAUUGCAGGUCCUCUGUCUCAGCACACCCGUCAGUCAGCAAAGGCAAACAUGGCCAGGACCCUCCCCGGUUCCUCUGCCCAGAGGCCCCAUCUCCUGCCUGGAUUCAGAGGAGGAAAGCAGCCAGUCCCUCCACCCAGGGCUCUGCAUCCCAAGAUGGGGGACAGAGACAAGGCACAAGCUGGCUCCCGGGCAGAUGCACAGCCAGCUUCAAUUCUGUGACAUGCUGUAGUCCCUUUGUGGCCUCAGCCUGCACCCAGGCCAGGCAGCGUGGGGACCCAUGGAGGUGACUCGGGCGUGCUCUGCUCUCCAGCCAUCCCAGUUCAGGGCCUCGGUCAUGGGGAGGAGUUGCGAGGAGGUGGCCUCCUGGCUGCCACCAGCCCAGGUUUCCAGGAAGACAGAGAGGACCCGGGGAGGCUGCCUUUCCCUUCCCCCAUCCCCCAUCCCCUUCCUCUCUUCCUCCCUAACCUCCCCUCGCCUCUGUCCCGGACAGCCCACCCCUGGACUGGGGCCAGCAAAGGUCAGAGAAGGCCCAACCCUUAGGUCCAGGCAUCCGAGUCCAGAGCCAAUCUCUGGAUGCCUCUGUCCAUGGAACUGCCUGUGAUGGUGGCAGCGUUCUGUGUCUGUGCCGUCCGGCAUGGCCACCACUGGCCUUAAUGUCUACCAAGGGCAUGAAAUGUGGCUUGUGGCCUGGGGAACUGAAUUUUUAAUUUGACUGGCUGUAAUCCAUUUCCAGUUAGAUAGCUACAUGUGGUUGGUGGCUAUUGUAUUGGAAAGUGGUCAUCCCAGCCGGGUCCAGCCUCCACCCAGAUCCUGAGGCUUCCUCCAAGGUGGGGUUCCCAAGCAGGGGGUGCCUGACACUUGUCACUGCCUGGACUCCAGCAAGUGCACCUCCUGUGGCUCCAGGUCAUGCCACCCAGCGCCCCUCCCCACACCAGGGACCCUGGGGACACCUUGGGAGGAAUGGCUGGGUGCUGGCCCCUCCCUGCUCUAGCUGUGAACUUCAGACCAGUGGCUAACUCCGCCUGCACCUUCCCUGUUUUGCCUGUAAAGAGGAGGCAGCGACAGGACCUACCUAGGCAGUCCUUCUCCUGAUUAAAUGAGCAUCUGGGGUCCUGGUCUGGACUGUGGUCCUCGCUCUGCAACCGGGGCCGCCUGCCCUCCGUGUGCACUUUCCCACCCAGGCCCACUCCCAGCUCUGGCUCUCCUGCCUGCACUCACUCAGCCGGGCCCUGCUUCCCUCCCUCUGGGUUGGCAGGCAUGCUAGGCGCAGGUGGAGGCUUGACCUCAUACACCUGGUCCCGCUUCCGCUCUGCGCCUUGAGCUCCCUACCCCCACCUGCCUCCAGUGCUGCAGAACUGCCAUUUCCCAGGGACCCACUGUGCUCCCCCUCAUACUAACCCCCCUACAGCCCUAUGGGCCCACCUGGUACAACCCACCCCCGAUGGAAGCCUGUGCUAGCUGGCUGAAGGAUGCCCCAGUCUCUGCUCCCCUGGAAGGGCAGGGAUCCAGCCUCCCCACCAGACGCCAGCCCGUUCCAGCCCUCACCCCAGCACUCCUCCGGGCACCUGCCCUUGGCCCUCCUGCUCCAGCCUCAGCCCAGGCAAGUUUGGAAAAGUCUUCUCCAGGGCCUUACUCAGAAGAGGUGGGAACUGAUGGGACAUUGUUGCCCCAAAUCUUGGGACAGCUGCCUCCUCUCACAGAUUUAAGGAAGCCACUCAGGCCUGGAAAGGCUGAGGUCCCUACAGCCCAUGCAGGGUGUGUGUUUCCCAUGGGGGCCCCGGGGGAUGGGUGCCAGGGCUGGGCUUGCCUCUUGAGGGUUCCUGCAGGCUGGGAUGGGGCAGAGGUAAGG